UGGCGGACGGGUGAGUAAUGUCUGGGAAACUGCCUGAUGGAGGGGGAUAACUACUGGAAACGGUAGCUAAUACCGCAUAACGUCGCAAGACCAAAGAGGGGGACCUUCGGGCCUCUUGCCAUCGGAUGUGCCAGAUGGGAUUAGCUAGUAGGUGGGGUAACGGCUCACCUAGGCGACGAUCCCUAGCUGGUCUGAGAGGAUGACCAGCCACACUGGAACUGAGACACGGUCCAGACUCCUACGGGAGGCAGCAUG
rnacentral:rRNA from 1 species